rnacentral:rRNA from 1 species
GAUGCAGCCAUGCCGCGUGUGUGAAGAAGGCCUUCGGGUUGUAAAGCACUUUCAGUUGUGAGGAAAGGUUAGUAGUUAAUACCUGCUACCCGUGACGUUAACAACAGAAGAAGCACCGGCUAACUCCGUGCCAGCAGCCGCGGUAAUACGGAGGGUGCGAGCGUUAAUCGGAAUUACUGGGCGUAAAGCGCACGCAGGCGGUUUGUUAAGCCAGAUGUGAAAGCCCCGGGCUCAACCUGGGAACUGCAUUUAGAACUGGCAAACUAGAGUCUUGUAGAGGGGRGUGGAAUUUCAGGUGUAGCGGUGAAAUGCGUAGAUAUCUGAAGGAACAUCAGUGGCGAAGGCGACUCCCUGGACARAKACUGACGCUCAUGUGCGAAAGCGUGGGUAGCGAACAGGAUUAGAUACCCUGGUAGUCCACRCCGUAAACGAUGUCUACUAGCWGUUUGUGACCUUGAGUCCGUGA